AGAAAUGUGGUGUGAAAGCAGUCCUUUUCAGUCUUCACUCUUUAGACUGUUCUGUCGUCCGUAAAGCUGCUUUUUCUUUUCUGCACUACGCUCUACUUCUCUUUCAAUGUCUGCUUAUCUUCGUUAUAAACUUUUUUUCUGAACGUUUUUAUAGCUUUAUUUCAUUGCUCUGUCAGUUUGUUUCUGUUUCAAUCCGCUCCUUGCUUGUUUUUAAUCGCCCCUCAGUUAGUUUUAUUCAUGGGAGUUAAAGACAAAGGGAAACGUCCACAUUUUGGCACCACUAAGGGGAGUCAGAACUGCAGCCAAGGACCCUGCUGAGAUCCAAAAAACCCCAGCACAGCGAAGCGCCAAAAAAAAAAAAAAGAAAAAAAGAAAACACCACCCUUUCCUUUGCAUGGUCACAAAUUCCACUCUCCCUGUAGCCAGGGCAGUGCCGCAGCUCCUCCUCGACCACAUCUCACCGCAUUCGACCUUUCCGCCUUCUCUUCUCAGUCUUCCACGGAACCUUUUCUGACCCAUUUUUUGAGGGUUUUCGUUUUUUUUCGGGUUUUUUUCACGGUAAAUACGGAUAGGACCGGCCGCACAGGAGGGCGAAAGAGGGGACAGGGGCUGUUUCAAUGUUGUCUGCCGAUGACUUGGCGAUUUGCUCUGGUUGAACUAGGGAUGCCGUUUUGGCUUCUUUUUCGAGUUUGUAGAUUUUUUGCGGGCAACGGAAUUGGCCUAGUCUGCACCCUAAGCCUGACUCCAUAUUGCCGCCAGGUGUAGGCUGACUCCGGUAUGGACAUCGAACUGGUCAGCACCAUAGACAGACGUCCUCCACCGGCAUGCGGAGGACCGCAGCACCCGAGGCACGGUCAGUCACUGCCGCCAGCUCGCUUCGGCGAGGGCAUGCAGGCACCCCUCCUCUCCUCUGCAGUGUGCCACAGUGCUGGAUGAAGACUAUUGUUCUGGUGCCCUCAUCUUCCUCUGGCACCACACCUCACCCACCACACCAGCCCACUUCAUCAAACAAGUAUGUGUGUGUGAAACUGGUGCAAGGUCAGUGUGAAAAUGCAGGACGGUUAUGAUGGAAGAUAUUUGCUUUAGUCACCAUGGGGGUUUGGCAUGGAAAUUUCGCUCCUCGUGUUGCUCAGCAUCUCUUGUCCAUAUGCAGUGGUGCAGUAGAGGAAUGCUGCUGAAGUUACAGGUUUCUUAAAGUGUCACUCCACUGAUAAUAUCCGCACACAUGCCGUUCCUCCCACACACACACCCCGUUCCUCUCGCUCACUGUCAGAAUCAUGGUAGUUGGUCUGCAGUGCCAGCACACGCCCCAGGAACGCCCAGAUUUUACCGCAGUACCAAAGUACCCUGAGCAGUCUCACACACACAAAUACACUCACUCCACCCGCAAUAUGAUUAUGAGAACUAAUCAGCUCCAAGAGUAGCAUAUCGAUGUAUAGCGAAAAGUUAAAAUGUCUGAAAUGUUAAAGUCACACUCGGAUACAUUUGGAAAGACCGUGUUUUUGCCUGCCAUCCGAUUUAAUUCAUUUUUGGAUCGUUUGAUCAUUUGUUUAUGUUUUUCAGGGUUCACGCAGUCAUUGAAAACCUGGAGUAUUAAGUGUGAUUUAUCUAGUGUAGUAUACACUGAAUAUAAUUAAAUACAUUUCUGUAGUGAAUAGAAAUUUGUCAAGUUUUGCCCUGGUCAGAAAUGUUUUAUUGACUUGAUACUGAGUGCUUAUAUAGAGUAAAACAAGACUGCAAGCCAGUGUGAAACAUCGAUCUGUAGUUUGGGGGAUUUAUCUGAAGACAUUUUGGUAACACUUUAGUAUAGGGACCAAUUCUCACUAUUAACUAGUUGCUUAUCAGCAUGCCUAUUAUCAGUAUAUUGGCUGUUUAUUAGUACUUAUGAAGCAUUUAUUUUACAUGACCAUGUUCUACAUCCCUAAUCCUACUCAAUACCUAAACUUAACAACUACCUUACUAACUAUUAAUAAGCAGCAAUUUAAGAGUUUAUGGAGACAAAAGUCAUAGUUAAUGGUUUGUUAAUAGCGAGAAUUGGAUGUUAAAAUAAAGUUUGACCAGAAAGGCAUGUUCAUUUAAAUAGAUUCUCUCCAAUUUGAGAACUGCCAAGCUAUCGCUAUAAAACGACAUCUGUAUGUUUGGCAAAUUCGUUGAAAUUGGUGGUUCAAAAACUUUUUCUUCUGAUGUUUCGUUUUUUUAAACAUGAUGUUCUUGUUUUGUGUCUGGCCAUGUGUGCAUGUCUGUGUGUUUUGCAGUAAGAAGACACCGUUGUCCCUUUCUCACAGACGUUGUCCCACAUGGCCAUAUGUUCAUGACUGGCAUAAAGCAUCCUACAUAUUUCUCUAUAGUCCGUCCAUCUGAGUGCUUCCACACAAACAGAAAAACAAACACAUACUAAUAAUGGUGGAUUACAGUUGUCAGAUGUUAAACGUGCAACAAAGAAGGAUACAUUUGGACGAAAGUGGAAAAAUAUCAAGAAAGAGCAGAGAGAGAGAAGAAU